UACGAAGGGGGCUAGCGUUGCUCGUAAUCACUGGGCGUAAAGGGUGCGUAGGCGGGUUUUUAAGUCAGGGGUGAAAUCCUGGAGCUCAACUCCAGAACUGCCUUUGAUACUGAAGAUCUUGAGUCCGGGAGAGGUGAGUGGAACUGCGAGUGUAGAGGUGAAAUUCGUAGAUAUUCGCAAGAACACCAGUGGCGAAGGCGGCUCACUGGCCCGGUACUGACGCUGAGGUGCGAAAGCGUGGGGAGCAAACAGG
rnacentral:rRNA from 1 species